GUCGGUAGGGUAACCUUUAUGGAGCCAGCCGCCGAAGGUGGGACAGAUAAUUGGGGUGAAGUCGUAACAAGGUAGCCGUAUCGGAAGGUGCGGCUGGAUCACCUCCUUUCUAAGGAA
rnacentral:rRNA from 1 species